CGCCGCUGCGACGAAAUACCAAUUUAGUAAUUAGUCAACGUUUGCAUGUAUACAGCCUCACGAACAUAACGAAUAUCCCGAAGGCUGCAACGAUUAUAUUCGUAACGUAAGGUAUUAUCGUCCAGACAGUUCGUAGGUACGUAGGAAAUAAAAAGACAGCGAACCUUUACAGAUCGGUACAGAGACUCACGCGAUACAAUUUGCAUAAACUUUGUACCUACUCGUUCUAUACUAUCCGCGCCGUGGUUUACAUCGAUUCAUUGCAUGCCCUAUUAAAUCGAAUUCAAUUAUUGGACACGCCGCACUUUCUCAGAGUCAACAUUUUCGGAGCAAACUCUCUUCCGCGUUUUAAUAUCGUAAAUCAAAAAGUAUAGCUCGAUCGUAGCCAAAAAUAUUGUUUGAUGAUCAAUUUUGGAUGAUAUACGAUUCGCAUCGACGUCUCAAAGAAAAAAAAUCACUUCCUCUUACAGUUACCACACGUGCAUACGUGACUCGGAAAACUCUUCGUCCGGGAGAAGUUCUCUUUUACCGAAAUGUUACCCUAUUCCUGUACGAGGAAGUCCUUUCAGCGGAACGAAUUCCCUAAUUCUCCGUAACGAAUCGGUAGCUAUUCACAAACGGAGGAGAGAAUGGAAGUUACAGGCCGUUGACGUGUCCACCCGAAUGGAGACAAGGGUCGAACCCUACGAAGGGUGGAGCCUCGUCUCCAGCCAACCCUAAACUUGUACCGUGAUACCUCUUCGCCAGACAUGAACCUCUGGUACACUUGUUUAUUAUUAUUUCGCCUUAAAGUACUCCCUUGGGUCCCCCCGACACGCUUCCAUUUAUUCCGUCAACGAGGACGUCAGGAUACAAUGAAACCGUAAACAUUAAUAUCGGGAUUCCAGGACGAGUUUGUAGCCGAUAUUAUGUACGUUUCGUAUUAUGUAUAUCUCGACGUGAUUUUUCAACCGAAGCGAAGUGGCACUGCGAAGUGGAAAAAAUCAUCGCCGUGAAUUUCCAUUAGGAAAACAUAAAACUGAACGGGGAUAGACGUGCGUGGGUGGGGCUCGACUAAAUCAAAGACGAAGAAGUGGAAAAGGGCUUGCGUAUUUUAUUGGUCAUUCAUAAUCAUAGUGGAGAUGUCGAUUAGAACGCUUGAUAAAUCUUCGAUUUAUUGAAGUAGUAGUACUGGCUAAUUAGCGUGACCGUUGAAGAUCGAAGUGAGUGCGUUCCACAGAUAGGGUAUUCGCACGAUACGAACACGAUUUUAAUGUUGCCUAAUCGCCGUGUUGAUCCGAGGAUCGCGAAGCGGUGACGCAACGGUGUGCGGUCUACCAAUCUUAAAUUGUACUCCGGAUGAUCCAGUUUGAGAAUCACACGUACGCGUCGGAUCUCACUUUCAUCGUUUCACUUAACCGAGGAGAGUGUCUCGCUCGCGUGUAUGUAUUCGGCAUCUGGUGUCCCAUUACAUGUGUGUAUACGUGUAAAAAUGAAAAUUUUUUUUUUCGCCGUACAAUUUCCGCGGUGCGAUGUCGAAAACGAUGCGUGUAAUCUUUUGUCUCGUUAAAUCGGAUGAAGUCUUCACUCCUUCGAUGCAACGGGAUAAUUUGCCCCGAGCAAUCAUCGCUCCGUAAUCUUUUGGCGGGUGACGUUCUCGUGACCUAUACAUACUAUCCCGACGCGACGAAUGUGAUAUAAUUUUACCAAGAUAUCAUCUACAUCGGAAGACAUACAUACAUAUAUGUAUACCGUGAUGCGAGUUCAUCUUUAUUAGAAUUGACCACAGCCGAUGCCGCCUUCAAAGACAAAACCGUAAAGUGGCGGUGUGUGCUCACGGUGCAGAACUUUAGAGUGCUUUUAACCGAUGCGAUGCUGCAGACGAUCCGCCACUCUCGGAUCUGACUGCUGUCGGUGCUCUGUUGCUAUAUGUAUACCUAUUUCCAGUGGAUGUGUAUACAGUAUGUAUAGCGUUGCAUAAUUCGCACGAGAGCUAUAUAACAUCUAAUAACACGGUGCUUUGGUAAUACAAGUAACAUUUAGAUAUACCUUCUCUAAGGAGUUCUCUUCAGGUGAACGGAUGAUAUGCCCGCGCGCCUGCCACAGGCUUUUACCCAGAGCCCCGGCUCGCUUGGAACUUUUUUUUUUUUAAUUCCAUUUUUUUUUUUUUUUUACCUCACAACUGUAUCGCUUCGGCUUGCCGUGAUCCGUCUAUUGCGUCUGUUGGAGAUUUUCUGAGCGAUCUGACUUUUGCUGUUCAUUCAUUUUUUUCAGAACAUUAAAGUCGAUUUAUUCUAACAGCGAUUUUAUCAUUGUUUUAACAGGGUUAUCAACUUGUGCGGUUUUAUGAGCACGUAUGCAGCUAUAUCAUUAUACAUACGCCGCGAUAUUACCUGCACUUCACAUCAGGACGGAGGUUGGAAGAUUUGUUGGUUUUAUUAUUUUUACCGAUUUUUUAUUUUUCAUUAAUUUUUUUUCAUCCAACAUCUCGUGUCUGCUAUUACCUCAGCCAACGAAGAUCUCUUCCGUAAUCCACGGCGUUGCCCGAUCUCCUUGGGCUUCCGCGAUCUAGCGAUCUUCCAUCUGUUGUGUGUACCACAUGCACACAUAUACCUGCUAUAUAUUAUAUAGUUCGCUUAGAUUUAUCGAGAUCAGCUGCCGGUGGUUGUUGGAAUUCGUCUCACUGUGAAAUAUAAGCGAAGUUUUACUUUUACUUCGGAUAAAAUUUAUGGAUCGCAGGAAUAUACUGACAAUUAGUUUUGUGAGUGCGGAAAUGCGAAGGAGGUAAGAGGAUCGAAGGAACUUGUCAAUACGAAAUGGAGCGAAGGAAAAUCGACAAACUAAUAAGAAUGUUGAAAAAAGAAAAAAAUCUAUAACGUCCGUAACUUUUGAAUACGUUGAUAUUACGUAUGUAUAUGCCUAUGAUCGACGAUCGUAAAAAUAUAAACGCUUCGCGGUACUUGAUCUUACUUUGCACUGCUGCAUCGCUGAGUUACAGGUAUUAUGUAUUUUUAUACAUUUUUUUUCUCAUCAUCUCAGGUUUCACUAAAGUUUAACCGGCGAAGAAGUAGGGAAUCGCAUCAUUCAGAAGGCAAUGAAAUCGUUCGAUAACCGAUCGUUAAAGGGCACGGCGCUCGUCAAUCAUCGGAUAAUGCGGUUGAGUGUAAAAACAAAUGACUGGAUCAGGAUUGACAGUGAUUCUUCCUGAUCGGCAGCCAAGAGCUGUAACUACAUGGUUUGUAUGUACGCGCGUACAUACACGAGGAGGGUAGGUAUGAGAAUAUAAAACUGGUGCGCGUGGUUCUCUCGAGCGUGUUUCGGAAUAUGAAGCAACCCGUGCACCCGAUAAGUUUCACGAAUUCGAUGGCGGUCUCUCUUUCGAGAUCAAAAUCGGUAUAUAUACCCGAACGGCAGCUGAUUGAUGGACGCGCGAUCGAUGUAAAUGUCGCCCAAAAGAUAUAUAAGAUUACAAUUAACUUAAUCUCAUUUAUAUUUUAUACUUUUUACUUUUGUCAAACGUCGAAAAAGGUACUCGUACACACACAAACACACGUACGUACGAACGAUUUAUACCUCUCAACGUUUACGUAUAGCGCAGCUUCUCUCGGAUUUUUGUUUUCUCUCUCGCGGUUCUCCCAGCUGAUAAAAUUAUACGGUGUAGCUGGUUUCGACAAAAUGUUAGCUGAUUUAGGUGAAUAGAAAUGGAAAUGAAAAUAUGGAAAUUGAGACGAAGACGGAGGUGGGGAUGGAGAUAAUGUACCACGUAAAUGACGAUCGUAUAUACAAUGAGAAGGUCCCAUUUACUUGAGGUUGAGAGACUGACAAUGACGGGCUGAGAAACUUAGAGACGCACCACAAGACUAGCUCUCAGGUUCUCGUAACUUCCUAGAGCCAUUUAUCAGUCAGAUAACCUUUUAAUCCAGUCUACGAGUUUGCGUUAAAACACUGUAAUUAACUGAACAAUAUGAAACUUGGAUAAAAUUUAGCUUUUUCCAGAACAAAAAUUGGCU